ACUCAGGGCGACACCCCCUAGUCUAGCCCCCUCUGAGUCCUUGCUGUCGUCGCCCUCCCCCUUUUGCCCCCUCCGGCUCCGAGCGCAGUACAGGCUGCUUUCGGCCCCAGAUGGCUGUGAAAGAAAAAAUAUAGACAGAGGCGGAGCAAAAGGAAAUACAAGUUACAGAACUGACAUUACGUUUGCAAAGCUUAACUGUCCAGUAAGAUCCAACAGUGUGCCUUUGUGACCCUGGAGUCGGUGUGGCUUGGUGACACCAAAGAAGCCACAGGCAGCCGACCUGGACUGGAAUCUCUGAAAGAGACGCCGCAGGAGAUUCCAGGGUGUAACAGAACAGCCCUCCCAAGAGCAGAAGCAUGUUGGAAAUUCUGGACAAGCUGUAUACAGGAUAAUCUCCCUUCCACCUCUCCCCCUCCUCUGAACAUUAUACACAGAAGUGGCCAGUCUGGACGUACCUGUAUAAUCAGAGAAAACUGAUGCCAGCUGAACAGCAUUCAACGUAUCAUGCAUUUACUGGCACAACAGGAAUUAUGUUUUGUGUUCUAUGUCCUGUCUUGUGGUGUUUGUCUCGUGGCCAAAAUUGUUGUGUUUAAUAUUUUUAUAGGAUAGUCUAGUUAAAAUUAAAUAGAAGGGUUAAAUGCAGAUACUUGUUUUAUUCAACUUUGGAAUACAAGGUGUUUGGAUAAAUCAGGAGAAUGUGAUACACUAAAGUCUGAUGCAUUUGCUUAAGUAAGAAAAAGAAGCUUCAUUGGCCAAAUUGUUAAUUAAAGAAAUUGUUGUUAUAAUUUGCAUGCCACCGGUCUUUGAAAGCAAAGACAUGAAAAGUUAACCCACUCCCCAUAUUGUACAUGGGAUCUUUCUGGCUACCUCAAAUUUCUAGCCAGAGGGCUGGGGAUGGUGGAAGGCUAUUGGACUAGAGGUUGAAUUGAAUGAACUCCUCAAAGUGGGUGUGCUUGUUCUAGCUCGUUGCUCCAAAGUUCUGUAAUAAGGUUAUUUUAGUAAAAGAGUAUGUGUGACAUAUAUUAAAUAAUAAGACUAAUGUACUGUAUAAUGGCAAUGUUUACGUGUUCGUUGUUGGGAAAAGGUGUAUAGGUGAAAAGUGAAAGUUUCCUUUGCAGGUUAAAGGAAGCCAAAAAGGGAGAAGACAAAAAAGAACAGAA